rnacentral:rRNA from 1 species
UACGUAGGGGGCAAGCGUUGUCCGGAUUUAUUGGGCGUAAAGAGCGUGUAGGCGGUCAGGUAGGUCCGUUGUGAAAACUCGAGGCUCAACCUCGAGACGCCGAUGGAAACCAUCUGACUAGAGUCCGGAAGAGGAGAGUGGAAUUCCUGGUGUAGCGGUGAACUGCGCAGAUAUCGGGAAGAACACCCGUGGCGAAGGCGGCUCUCUGGGACGGUACUGACGCUGAGACGCGAAAGCGUGGGGAGCGAACAGG